AUACAGCCUCUGCCUCCCGGGCUCAAACCAUCCUCCCAUCUCAGCCUCCUGAGUAGCUCGGACUACAGGUGUGCACUAUAAUGCCCAGCUUAUUUUGUGCUUUUGAUAGAGACAGGGUUUUGCCCUGUUGCCCAGGCUGGUCUCGAACUCCUGGGCUCAAGCAAUCCUUCUGCCUUGGCCUCCCAAAGUGCUGGGAUUAUAGGUGUGACCCACUAUGCCUGGCCUUGAAAAUCCAUUUUAUUUUAUUUUUUUAAUUUAUUUAUUUUUUUGAGACGGAGUCUCGCUGUCACCCAGGCUGAAGUGCAGUGGCACGGUCUCGGCUCAUUGCAAACUAUGCCUCCCGGGUUCACGCCAUUCUCCUGCCUCAGCCUUCCCAGUAGCUGGGACUACAGGCGCGCGCCAUCACGCCUGGGUAAUUUUUUUUUGUGUGUAUUUUCAGUAGAGACGGGGUUUCACCGUGUUAGCCAGGAUGGUCUCGAUCUCCUGACCUCAUGAACCGCCCGCCUCGGCCUCCCAAAGUGCUGGGAUUACAGGCGUGAGCCACCAUGCCCAGCCGAAAAUCCAUUUUAUUUAUUUAUUUACUUAUUUAGGUGUGACCCACCAUGCCUCGCCUUGAAAAUCUUAUUUAUUUAUUUAGAGACGGAGUUUUGCUCUUGUUGCCCAGGCUGGAGUGCAAUGGCGCGAUCUCGGCUCACUGCAACCUCCACCUCCCGGGUUCAAGCAAUUCUCUGCCUCAGCCUCCCGAGUAGCUGGGAUUACAGGCGCCCGCCACCACGCCUAGCUAAUUUUUGUAUUUUUAGUAGAGACGGGGUUUCACCAUGCUGGCCAGGCUGGUCUUCAACUCCUGACCUGGUGAUCCACCCACUCGGCCUCCUAAAGUGCUGGGAUUACAGGUGUGAGCCACCGCACCCGGCCAGUCCCUUAUAUAAAUUUUUAAAAAGAUGUUUUCUUCGUUUCCUAGCCCCUUCUACCCACCUACAAAGUUCCAAAGGCUUUAAUGCUAUUGCAACGGCAGUCAGAGGUCAAGCUGGUGGGGGUGCGGUGCAGCUCCCUAACGCGGGGCAGCCUCAAAGGGGGCCGACCCUGCCCAGCACGAAUGGCACCGGGCGGUGGGGGACGCUCCCGAGGUCCCGGGAACAUGGCUGGGGGAAGUGUUGGGGGGUGCACAUACCCAGGCUCAGCUGAGGCGAGUGCGCGGCCAGGGCUGCAGCUGGCGCUGGCUGGCACUUGCGCCGGCCAUUGAGGAGCUUCUGGGCGACCCUGCACUCGUGCCUACCAGGCGCCAGCCGGUAGGUGCGCAGCGCCUGCUCCAGCAGCGUCAGGCCUUUGCUGCGCGGACCCCUCAGGCCGGGAAGUCACGCAGGUGGUAGUAGUCCAGGUGGUCGUAAACUCCUCCUCAUAGCUUAUGGGUGGUGGCGGCUGGGCUGAAGACGGCGGACAGGACAUCCCGCCCGGCCGCCUGUGGUCACCCUCCCGCGCAGGCGCUCUCCUGGAAGACCCAGCACCUGGAGUUCCGAUUGGCUCUGCGUGAGGGGCGGGCCUUUGCGACAUCUUGGGGGGCGCCUUCGGUGACGUCACAGGGGCGGGCCUUCUGUCACGUCACAAGGGCUGUACAGUGCCUGGAGCUGGGCAGUCUUCUCAGAGUGGAGCCUGGUAACCGCGACCUCCCCGCCAGUUCCUGUGUGUUGCUGGCUGGAAAGGGGUAGUUGACAAACUCCCACCCAGCACAGUAUUUAUGUCGGUCAAAAAUGGAAAACUAUGUGUCCGGGCGUGGCCAGGAAGGAGGAUCCCUUCAGGCCAAGAGCAGCCUAGCAAUAUGGCGCAACCCCACCUCUGUAGUCCAACCUCAGCCUCCCAGCUACUUGAACCCCAAGAUUCAAGGCUCCAAUGAUCUGUGAUCUCACCACAGCACUCCUGCCUGCGAGACUGAGAGACCAAAGACCAACGAACUACCACAG
rnacentral:lncRNA from 1 species